CACGAACGCUGGCGGCAGGCUUAACACAUGCAAGUCGAGCGCCCCGCAAGGGGAGCGGCAGACGGGUGAGUAACGCGUGGGAAUCUACCCAUCUCUACGGAGUAACGCAUGGAAACGUGUGCUAAUACCGUAUACGUCCUUCGGGAGAAAGAUUUAUCGGAGAUGGAUGAGCCCGCGUUGGAUUAGCUAGUUGGUGGGGUAAAGGCCUACCAAGGCGACGAUCCAUAGCUGGUCUGAGAGGAUGAUCAGCCACACUGGGACUGAGACACGGCCCAGACUCCUACGGGAGGCAGCAGUGGGGAAUAUUGGACAAUGGGCGCAAGCCUGAUCCAGCCAUGCCGCGUGAGUGAUGAAGGCCCUAGGGUUGUAAAGCUCUUUCACCGGUGAAGAUAAUGACGGUAACCGGAGAAGAAGCCCCGGCUAACUUCGUGACAGCCGCCGCAGUAACAC
rnacentral:rRNA from 1 species